rnacentral:rRNA from 1 species
UACGUAGGUGGCGAGCGUUGUCCGGAUUUACUGGGCGUAAAGGAUGCGUAGGCGGAUAUUUAAGUGAGAUGUGAAAUACCCGAGCUUAACUUGGGUGCUGCAUUUCAAACUGGAUAUCUAGAGUGUGGGAGAGGAGAAUGGAAUUCCUAGUGUAGCGGUGAAAUGCGUAGAUAUCAGGAAGAACACCCGUGGCUAAGGCGGCUCUCUAGUACGGUACUGACGCUGAGACGCGAAAGCGUGGGGAGCGAACAGG